CUUACAAAACUAUACUCCCGCAAUCUUACUCAAUGACAGUUUAAAUGAGAAAUAUAAAAGAGCUGCGUACAACUUGAUCUGACUUGUUUUUCCAUGCAGCUCCCACAACACCUGAAAUAGCAAAGGAUGGAGGACCUGGGUUUACCUUCACAGUUCCAGUGUCUUUGGCUGUUAUUGUGGGCCUAUUGGUGACCUGUGUUUCUUUGGGUAUCUGGAGAAUAAAAAGGACGGGCCAGCGACUGGAAAAUCAAGUCAUCAGAGAGACACCCAUUGAUAGUGAGGAGCCCAGGAACAUGGAUGAACAUGGAGAAGAGGUUGACUCUAACUCCUCCAGAGGUUCAACCCAGUGGUGUCAAGUUCCUGUGUAUGAAGCUUACUUUGACCAUCGGAGGGAUGGGGAGGAUGGCUGAAAAGGAUUCACAAUCAGAGAAGAAAUAUUCCAUUCUUUAUUUAGUUUUAGCCAUUUUUAUUUGAUUUAAUUAAGAUAUUUGUUUUACCUGUUCUUAAAUAAUCUGGACAAUAUGAAAUGCUUAUGCUUCUAU
rnacentral:lncRNA from 1 species